rnacentral:rRNA from 1 species
UACCUGGUUGAUCCUGCCAGUANUCAUA